GCGCGCAAAUUAGAAAAUAAAAAGACCACUACCGGAUUCGUUUCAGUGUCCACGACGGUUGACCCCCAUCGAGUUCGAGAGAGACCUUUGCCCGUCUGAUUCAUCAAGAAACCCGAGAACAUGGCCUAUUACCCAGAACAAGCGUACCCGGAAGCGGCAGCGUACCCGGAGUACUCUGCAUUCCCGGAGUUUUCGGAGGUCGAGAACCAGUACGGUGCUCCCCAACUUUCGGGGUAUACCGCAUGUAAGAAUUUGUCUAUAAAUGAUUGUGCAAAACAUUUCGGAGUAGUCGUUCUACAUUGGCGGAAUGAUACACUCACUCAAUCACAGUAAGAAAU